rnacentral:rRNA from 1 species
GAUGAACGCUGGCGGCGUGCCUAAUACAUGCAAGUCGAGCGAACGGAUGAGGAGCUUGCUCCUCUGAUGUUAGCGGCGGACGGGUGAGUAACACGUGGUUAACCUACCUAUAAGACUGGGAUAACUUCGGGAAACCGUAUCUAAUACCGGAUAAUAUAUUGAACCGCAUGGUUCAAGAGUGAAAUACGGUCUUUCUGUCACUUAUAGAUUGAUCCGCGCUGCAUUAGCUAGUGGGUAAGGUAACGGCUUACCAAGGCAACGAUGGAUAGCCGACCUGAGAGGGUGAUCGGCAAAACUGGAAUUGAGACACGGUCCAGAAUACUACGGGAGGCAGAAGUAGGGAAUCCUUCGGAAUGGGAGAAAGCCUGACGGAGCAACGCCGCGUGAGUGAUGAAGGUAGUAGGAUCGUAAAACUCUGUUAGUCGGGAAGAACGUAUGUGUAAGUAACUGUGCACGUCUAUACGGUUCCUAAUCAGAUAGGCACGGCUAACCACGGG